GGGUCAGUAGGUUGGUCGUGCCACCGGUACGUACUGGUCUCACUGAUUCCUCCUCCCUGAAGAACCGUAAUGCCAUUAAUUUGGUGUUGCGGGGAAACAGGACCGUUACUUUGAAAAAAUUAGAGUGUUUAAAGCAAGCUAACGCUUGAAUACAUUAGCAUGGAAUAAUGAAAUAGGACGAUCGAUCCUAUUUUGUUGGUUUCUAGGAUUGACGUA
rnacentral:rRNA from 1 species